GAUGAACGCUGGCGGCGCGCCUAACACAUGCAAGUCGAACGAUUAAAGCACCUUCGGGUGUGUAUAAAGUGGCGAACGGCUGAGUAACACGUGGGCAACCUGCCCCUUUCAUUGGGAUAGCCACGGGAAACCGUGGAUAAUACCGAAUACUUCGAGACUUCCGCAUGGAAGACUCGAGAAAGCUCCGGCGGAGAGGGAUGGGCCCGCGGCCUGUUAGCUUGUUGGUGGGGUAACGGCCUACCAAGGCAAUGAUGGGUAGCUGGGUUGAGAGACCGACCAGCCAGAUUGGGACUGAGACACGGCCCAGACUCCUACGGGAGGCAGCAGUGGGGAAUCUUGCACAAUGGGCGAAAGCCUGAUGCAGCGACGCCGCGUGCGGGAUGAAGGCCUUCGGGUUGUAAACC
rnacentral:rRNA from 2 species